rnacentral:misc_RNA from 1 species
GAUAACUUAAAUAAUUGAGAUUGCAAAAUUUUGAUAAGACUGGAAUAUGAGUGAAGUGUUUUAACUAAUAGGAAGAGAGGGAAAAGGGGUAGCAAUAAUAAGGAGUGAGAAAGAGAGUGAGGCCGAGUAGGAGAAAGAGUUUGUACGGGAGAGGGAGAGAGGUGUGGUAGGGUUCGAGAGUUAUAAAAUUCAGAUAAUUUAAACAACUGAGAUUGAGAAAUUUGAAUGAGAUUGGGAUAU